UACGGAGGAUCCAAGCGUUAUCCGGAUUUAUUGGGUUUAAAGGGUGCGUAGGCGGAUUUGUAAGUCAGUGGUGAAAUCUUUGGGCUUAACCCAGAAACUGCCAUUGAUACUGCAGAUCUAGAGUACAGUUGCCGUUGGCGGAAUAUGACAUGUAGUGGUGAAAUACUUAGAUAUGUCAUAGAACACCGAUUGCGAAGGCAGCUAACGAAGCUGUAACUGACGCUGAGGCUCGAAAGUGCGGGGAUCAAACAGG
rnacentral:rRNA from 1 species